CAAGAGCGUAUAUUAAAGUUGUUGCAGUUAAAAAGCUCGUAGUUGGAUUUCUGGUACAACGCGCCUGGCCCGCUUUUGUGAGUGCCGGUGCGCGUUUGCCAUCCUUCUAGAAAACGUUUCUACCCGGGUAACUGGGCCGGACUCGCGAUCUAGAUCUUUUACUUUGAAAAAAUUAGAGUGUUCAAAGCAGGCCUAUGCUCGAAUAGGUUAGCAUGGAAUAAUAGAAUAGGACUUCGGUCUUAUUUUGUUGGUUUCUAGGACCGAAGUAAUGAUUAACAGGGACAGUUGGGGGCAUUCAUAUUCCAUUGUCAGAGGUGAAAUUCUUGGAUUAACGGAAGAUGAACUUCUGCGAAAGCAUCUGCCAAGGAUGUUUUCAUUGAUCAAGAACGAAAGUUAGGGGAUCGAAGACGAUCAGAUACCGU
rnacentral:rRNA from 1 species